rnacentral:tRNA from 1 species
GUGGGCACAGCUCAGUGGUAGAGUGCCUGCUUAGUGUGCAGGAUGUCCUGGGUUCAAUCCCCAGUACCUCUG